rnacentral:lncRNA from 1 species
AAGACCAUCAUACAGCAUAUUCAUGUUCAUACUUUCUUUCCUUCUUUAUCGCAUUCCAGAGUGAGGGAAAGCCAGCCUACCUCCAUUUUACAAAUGGGAAAAGGAAGACCCAGAGAGAGGGAGGAUGCCAACACCUGCAGAAAAUGUAGCUCCAGAAAGCAACCUUAUGCAACCAGACUGAUGAGACAUGUCAGAAGUCUGAGAACUCUUCUGGUCCACAGUCUACACACCAAAACUUCCAAGGAAGCAAACCUGUCCCCAUGAUGCCACAGUUCUGAUCGGACUCCUGAGCCUGUAUUGCAUACUUGUGGUGUAUAAUUAUGAUACCAACAGCGCAUCUGUGAGCCUGUCUUCAGCCACGGAUAAAUGGCUCAUUUUACCCUCACUGCCAGCCUGUGUUUAUCCAGUGGUUCCGCAGGAGGGAUUGUGUAUUUGGCGAUGACCCAUCCAUUUCCAUGUGCCCAUCGUCCUGGUCUGAUGGGGAGGUGUUCACCCUUGUUUGUUUAUUUCAUCAUCUAACUUCCAACCAAUGAUAACUGGAGCUGUUAUUCUGAAGCUGUUUCUUGCAAAAACUGAAAUCAACUCAAGUAUUGAUUGUGAAUCACACUUUGUAGGGACAUCUGUGCUUUAAAUUCAGAAGGACUAGUAUGUUUAAUCUAGAUUUGGGCUUUGCAAUGCAAAAGAGGAUCUUCCAUUGCUUGGCAUUUGCUGUCUACCAGACACUGCACUUACUACCUAACAUGCAUUUCCCCUACCGAAUCCUCAGGGCAGCUUUGAGACAGGGACUGUUCUUAUAGACUAGGAAACAGACAGGCCCAGGGCCACUUUGGAGAUGUAGUCAGAACACAAUCUCAGGCCCCUGGAUUCCCAGCCCCGAGAGGAUUCACAUGAACUUCAUUCAGUCACUCAUUUUUCCAAAACGAAUGCAUUAGUAUCUCCCUGUGCCGGGCACUGGGGAUUCAGCCUUGAACAAGACAGUCACAACUCUGUAUUAUGGAACCUUUAUUACAUUUAGUCUGGAGCGCAUUAUGCUUGCAAAAUAACCAUCACCUUUUAUUUGCUGAGCACUUUAAAGUUUACAAAAUGCAUUCACACCCAUUAUCUCGUUUUGAAUGAAUUUACUGUAUUCCCCGAUGCUUAAAUAAAUGGUAAAUGAGACCCGUGGCUUUGGAGUGGCCUGUUAUUGACAGCGUACUCUCUUCCACUCAAUCUUUCCCAGACCAGAGGCUUGUGUUUACUAGACAGAGGCAAUUGCAUUUAAAUUAAAUUACUAUCCCUCCUUCAUUCAUGUCCCGCUUUGCUUUCUGCUGCUCGUAAAAUCCUCCAUAGGCCUCCAGAUUAGUGACUUUGCUUUCUUUUGCCAUUGCAUUUGGACAAAUG